rnacentral:rRNA from 1 species
GAUGAACGCUGGCGGCGUGCCUAAUACAUGCAAGUCGAGCGAACAGACGAGGAGCUUGCUCCUCUGACGUUAGCGGCGGACGGGUGAGUAACACGUGGAUAACCUACCUAUAAGACUGGGAUAACUUCGGGAAACCGGAGCUAAUACCGGAUAAUAUAUUGAACCGCAUGGUUCAAUAGUUAAAGACGGUUUUGCUGUCACUUAUCGAUGGAUCCGCGCCGCAUUAGCUAGUUGGUAAGGUAACGGCUUACCAAGGCAACGAUGCGUAGCCGACCUGAGAGGGUGAUCGGCCACACUGGAACUGAGACACGGUCCAGACUCCUACGGGAGGCAGCAGUAGGGAAUCUUCCGCAAUGGGCGAAAGCUUGACGGAGCAACGCCGCGUGAGUGAUGAAGGUCUUCGGAUCGUAAAACUCUGUUAUUAGGGAAGAACAAAUGUGUAAGUAACUAUGCACGUCUUGACGGUACCUAAUCAGAAAGCCACGGCUAACUACGUG